UGGGGAAUAUUGGACAAUGGGCGGAAGCCUGAUCCAGCCAUGCCGCGUGUGUGAAGAAGGCCUUUUGGUUGUAAAGCACUUUAAGCGAGGAGGAGGCUACUUGGAUUAAUACUCUAGGAUAGUGGACGUUACUCGCAGAAUAAGCACCGGCUAACUCUGUGCCAGCAGCCGCGGUAAUACAGAGGGUGCGAGCGUUAAUCGGAUUUACUGGGCGUAAAGCGUGCGUAGGCGGCUUUUUAAGUCGGAUGUGAAAUCCCUGAGCUUAACUUAGGAAUUGCAUUCGAUACUGGGAAGCUAGAGUAUGGGAGAGGAUGGUAGAAUUCCAGGUGUAGCGGUGAAAUGCGUAGAGAUCUGGAGGAAUACCGAUGGCGAAGGCAGCCAUCUGGCCUAAUACUGACGCUGAGGUACGAAAGCAUGGGGAGCAAACAGG
rnacentral:rRNA from 4 species